UACGAAGGGGGCUAGCGUUGCUCGGAAUCACUGGGCGUAAAGCGCACGUAGGCGGAUUGCUAAGUCAGGGGUGAAAUCCUGGAGCUCAACUCCAGAACUGCCUUUGAUACUGGCGACCUUGAGUACGGGAGAGGUGAGUGGAACUGCGAGUGUAGAGGUGAAAUUCGUAGAUAUUCGCAAGAACACCAGUGGCGAAGGCGGCUCACUGGCCCGUAACUGACGCUGAGGCACGAAAGCGUGGGGAGCAAACAGG
rnacentral:rRNA from 1 species